rnacentral:lncRNA from 1 species
UAAAUGGAGAACACUGUGGGCAGAACAGAUUCUGGGGAGCAAUAUCAAGAGUUAAGUUUGAAGCAUGUUCAAUUUGAGAUGUCAGUGAAAGAAGGUGGGGAGAGGUCUGAGCCAGAAAUAGAAAUGUAACUGAACUCAAGCAGACGAAUGGUUUCUUCUGUUUGUUGGGAUUAGUGAGUAGUAUCUGCAGCUGCAGUGCUUGUUUCCGUGGGACCUGUAGGUGUAACUGCUACUUUUCUGGAACUCCAAUUGUAAUAGGGUACAAUAUUGAAGUCUUCAGUUCAGAGGCCAAUAUGCAUCAUCGUCUAGCCUAUACAGAGGCCAGAUGGUA